ensembl:rRNA 5S_rRNA 5S ribosomal RNA
GUCUAUGGCCAUACUAACCUGCAAACUCCAAUCUCAUCUGAUCUUGGAAGUUAAGCAGUGUCACACCCGGUUAGUACUUAGAUGGGAGACAACCUGGGAAUGCUAGUUGCUGUGGCUA